AGUCAAGUUUCUUCAGUCGAUUGAAAGUUCCAACUAUUAACGGGAAUAUCAAAUCUAUAUCAACAAUAAUAAUAAUAAUAUCAAAUCUAUAUCAACAAUAAUAAUAAUACUAAGCUCGAUCCUAUUUGCUAAAUACUUUUAUCAUUAGAAUCAAAACCCAAGAUAAAACAAAGAACUAAGAAAAGAGCAAGAAGAUGAGUAAAUUGAACAGUAAACUCUUCAAAGCUAAAAUGCAGAAAUCGACAUCCGCGGACAACAAUAUGGUCACUGUAGUAGAGGAGGUCAUUCAAAUAAAGAAAGUUUCUUUGACUGAUGAUCAGCAGUUUACUCUUGCUCCAGGAAU